GGUGAACGCUGGCGGCGUGCUUAAGACAUGCAAGUCGAACGGCAGUCUUCGGACUGUAGUUGCGCACGGGUGAGUAACGCGUAACUGACCUACCCCAAAGUCGCGGCUAACGAUUCGACAGAAUCGCCAAUACGAAACGCGCUGUCAGAUUGUGUUCUCCCAGCAAAGAUUGAUUGCUUUGGGAUGGGGUUGCGUUGCAUCAGCUAGUGGGUGGGGAAAAGACCAACCAAGGCGACGACGGAUAGCCGGGCUGAGAGGGUGGCCGGCCACAGGGGCACUGAGACACGGGUCCCACACCUACGGGAGGCAGCAGUUAGGAAUCUUCAACAAUGGGCGAAAGCCUGAUGGAGCGACGCCGCGUGAGGGAUGAAGGUCUUCGGAUCGUAAACCUCUGAAUCAGGGACGAAAGACACUUCGGUGGGAUGACGGUACCUGAGUAAUAGCACCGGCUAACUCCGUGCCAGCCGCCGCCGUAACAC
rnacentral:rRNA from 1 species